rnacentral:rRNA from 1 species
UACGUAGGGUGCGAGCGUUGUCCGGAAUUAUUGGGCGUAAAGGGCUCGUAGGCGGUUUGUCGCGUCGGGAGUGAAAACCAGGUGCUUAACACCUGGCUUGCUUUCGAUACGGGCAGACUAGAGGCAUGCAGGGGAGAACGGAAUUCCUGGUGUAGCGGUGAAAUGCGCAGAUAUCAGGAAGAACACCCGUGGCUAAGGCGGCUCUCUAGUACGGUACUGACGCUGAGACGCGAAAGCGUGGGGAGCGAACAGG